UGUAACACCCCUCUCAAAUUAAAUGAGAUAAAAGCUUUCAACUAUAGCAAUUCUGGAGAGGACAAGUGACGGGAUUCUAUUGGUCGGAGCAUUAAAAUUUGAAUAACACUCUGUUUACACCCUGUAUUUAACUGCCUGUUAGUAACACCGUCAACAAAAACGUGGGUGUACAACACUUAUCCGUGGAUUUACACUUAAAUAAUUACUUACACUUGAUUUACACCAAAUACUUAACUGGACGUUAUUAACGUCAGUCAGUUAGGUAGACAAUACUUCCGUCCAAAUUUAACCCUACCUGAGAUAACAUUUUCAUAUUCUUAUUCGCGUAGUUUUAUUUUUGCAGCUUCUCAGUUUUUGUUUUCUUCUUCAAUGAAAAACGGUUGUGAAGAAGAUAGCAGUUAACAACAAUGAAUCUGAAAUCGAGAAUCUGCAGUUAUUGUUGGACCUGGGUUUUACUGGGUUCGAUCUGAGAUAGAAAUUUGGGGUCGCGGCAGAUUUUAGGUUAAUCAUAGUCGAACAAAACCAGGUGCUGUGUUUUUCUUCUUAAACAAACCAUGGUUCUUCCCUGAUUUCGCAGGGUUUCCAGAUUUCCUCUAAUUAGUAGAGGGUUCAGAUGUGAUUUUUCGUAUGGGCAUAACAAGGUAAACAACUCCAGUGUCAGACUUGGCGGAGAGAACUUUUAGCACCUGAAAGGCAUAAGCCAAAUGUUAGGAAGCGUGUCGAGAUUUUGGGGGAGAUUCAGAGGUUUGAUAUUGUGAAUGGAGUUACAAAGCAAGUCGAGGCUUACAAAGAAGCAUAUAAAAACGCACAAGGUACAAUACUCGAUAAAUCUUUGUUUGAGUUAAAAAAAAAAUCGUAGCAGUCCUUGAAUUAACGUUAACUUCACGUGUGCGCAUGUUUGAAGUGGAGAAGGGUGUUCUCAAGUUUGGCUCAUUUCUAUGAAGAGAAAUGAAGUACUAGCAAAGGAGAAAAUGAGUUGUAAUGAAGGUCCCCUUGAGCCUAAGGGGUUCAAGCUCGAUUUCUAUUCUGAUGAGAAUCCAUAUUUCAAUAAUGCAGUCCCGACAAAAACUUAUCAUGUGCUAGAUGAUGAUGAAAUAGAUGGAUACAAACAUGUUAAUGGAAAGCCAAGAAAUAGAGGAACGAUUUGCAAAACUGACUCUACGAACACUGUAAUAAGAAAGAUUAGUGAUACCAGAUACAGUAUAUGAUUUUUGUUAGAAACUUAUAACGUAUGGGGAGUAUUUGUUUCCUCCAUCCUUUGUUUUAUCCUCUACAAGGAAUGUGUAUACAAAGAUCUUAUAUACAGGAGAAAAAGAAUAAAAUAAAUUUCAAAGUUACCAAGUCAUGUAGAUAUGGAAUACUGUCUUGUACUCGGCUGGUGUUGAGAUUCUUUAAAAAACAUCAAAGUGGACUUUCAUUUUAACUAACAUUUAGAAUUUUAUUCUUUUUUCCGAUCAAAAUCCAAGCUUAUUAUACGGUGCGGAUAUGAUGUGGUCGGGCCGCAUACUCAAAGUAUGUGG